UAGCGGCGAGCGAAGCGGGAAGAGCUCAAAUUUAUAAUCUGGCACCUUCGGUGUCCGAGUUGUAAUCUCUAGAAAUGUUUUCCGCGUUGGACCGCACACAAGUCUGUUGGAAUACAGCGGCAUAGUGGUGAGACCCCCGUAUAUGGUGCGGACGCCCAGCGCUUUGUGAUACAUUUUCGAAGAGUCGAGUUGUUUGGGAAUGCAGCUCAAAUUGGGUGGUAAAUUCCAUCUAAAGCUAAAUAUUGGCGAGAGACCGAUAGCGAACAAGUACCGUGAGGGAAAGAUGAAAAGCACUUUGGAAAGAGAGUUAACAGUACGUGAAAUUGUUGGAAGGGAAACGCUUGAAGUCAGACUUGCUUGCCGAGCAAUCGGUUUGCAGGCCAGCAUCAGUUUUCCGGGAUGGAUAAUGGUAGAGAGAAGGUAGCAGUUUCGGCUGUGUUAUAGCUCUCUGCUGGAUACAUCUUGGGGGACUGAGGAACGCAGUGUGCCUUUGGCGGGGGUUUCGACCUCUUCACACUUAGGAUGCUGGUGGAAUGGCUUUAAACGACCCGU
rnacentral:rRNA from 1 species